rnacentral:tRNA from 9 species
AGGAAAGGGAGGGAUUCGAACCC